CUGGUUGAUCCUGCCAGUAGUCAUAUGCUUGUCUCAAAGAUUAAGCCAUGCAUGUCUAAGUAUAAGCAAUCUAUACGGUGAAACUGCGAAUGGCUCAUUAAAUCAGUUAUCGUUUAUUUGAUAGUACCUUACUACUUGGAUAACCGUGGUAAUUCUAGAGCUAAUACAUGCUAAAAACCUCGACUUCGGAAGGGGUGUAUUUAUUAGAUAAAAAACCAAUGCCCUUCGGGGCUCCUUGGUGAUUCAUAAUAACUUAACGAAUCGCAUGGCCUUGUGCCGGCGAUGGUUCAUUCAAAUUUCUGCCCUAUCAACUUUCGAUUGUAGAGUAGUGGUCUACAAUGGUUUCAACGGGUAACGGGGAAUUAGGGUUCUAUUCCGGAGAGGGAGCCUGAGAAACGGCUACCACAUCCAAGGAAGGCAGCAGGCGCGCAAAUUACCCACUUCCAGAACGGAGAGGUAGUGACGAAAAAUAACGAGACAGUCCUCUUCGAGGUCUGUCAUCGGAAUGGGUACAAUUUAAAUCCUUUAACGAGGAUCUAUUGGAGGGCAAGUCUGGU
rnacentral:rRNA from 1 species